GUUUCUUUCUGAUAGACUCUACAUACAUAUGUUCCUGUAUCAUCAGUCGUCACCUUCUUCAGAAUCAGAGACACGUCUCCAUCCUUCAUCUGUCUGUCCUGAAGAUCCACCCGGUUCUGGAAAGAUGGAUGUUGGUUUUCAAGAUCAAUAUGACCGUCUCUGUUAAAAUAAACAUAUUGCAGCAGCUCCAGAU